UGAAGGGGUGUUAGAGUGGGUAAAAGUCCCACAUUAGUUGGAGAAUAAACUAGUGGUUUGCUUAUAUGGACUUGAGUAAUCCUCCCCUCACGAGCUAGCUUUUGAGGUUGAGUUAGGCCAGUAUCUAUUUCUUGUCAUGAUAUCAGAGCCAGGUCCAUCCUCGUUUUGGGCUUUCGGUCCACGCGCCAGUGCCAAUUGGGCCUGGGCGUGAGGAGGUGUUAGAGUGGGUAAAAGUCCCACAUUAAUUAGGGAAUUGACUGAUGGUUUGCUUUUGAAGUUGAGUUAGGCCCGAGGUUCAUUCUUGACAUCCAUAACACAUUUGUUUUUUUACAUGUGGCGUCUCUACUACAAUAUGUAAAAAAUUGUCAU
rnacentral:lncRNA from 1 species